UACGUAGGCGGUCUAUUAAGUCAGAUGUGAAAGCCCCGGGCUUAACCUGGGAACUGCAUUUGAUACUGGUAGACUAGAGUAUGGUAGAGGGGGUAGAAUUCCUAGUGUAGCGGUGAAAUGCGUAGAUAUUAGGAGGAAUACCAGUGGCGAAGGCGGCCCCCUGGACCGAUACUGACGCUGAGGUACGAAAGCGUGGGUAGCGAACA
rnacentral:rRNA from 1 species